UACGUAGGGCGCAAGCGUUGUCCGGAAUUAUUGGGCGUAAAGAGCUCGUAGGCGGCUUGUCACGUCGGGUGUGAAAGCCCGGGGCUUAACCCCGGGUCUGCAUUCGAUACGGGCUGGCUAGAGUGUGGUAGGGGAGAUCGGAAUUCCUGGUGUAGCGGUGAAAUGCGCAGAUAUCAGGAGGAACACCGGUGGCGAAGGCGGAUCUCUGGGCCAUUACUGACGCUGAGGCGCGAAAGCUAGGGGAGCAAACAGG
rnacentral:rRNA from 1 species